UCCUAAAGCUCACAAUGCAUGCAGAGCGAGAUGCCGAUACUAGCCAUUACCAGACGGAAAUUCUGCUUGAUUGGGGAGGCGACUCGACACAUAAUUUUUGGACAGGCUCUCCUCUGUCAGAGUCGGGCUGUAUGAAAGAGUCUGAUCCCGUCUACAUUUCCCCCGGGAGGAGCAUGCCUCACCGAGUGUGGCUGUCGACGCCAGAGUGAACUCACCGCGAGCCUCCUGGGACAAGCCUUCAAUGAAGAGGAAAUGGUCCAAAGCAAGGUGUGUCUGGUGACAGGUGUGAGGGGUCUCCCUGUUCAUGAGCACCAUCUGGCUUGCACUCCCUGCAAAGCAAAUUGACCCAGAGUCGGUGCUGAUCAAGCGAUGCCUGCGCUUCUGAGGGUAUCGACCCGUGGUCUUCCUGGUUAUUAAAGUGACGGCGAGUCUCUCUGAAUGGAGGUUUCCGGGGGUCGGGUUAACUGCAGAUUGUGCUUCUGCAGGACCUCUCAAUCAGUUUUUUUUUUUUUUUCUCUGAACUAUUAUCCACUGAUGAAAGUGCCAAGAGGCAUAAAGCUACAAUGAAAUGGCAGUCAGAAACAGUCUUACCGUAUUGC